AAAUCAACCGAGAUUCCCCCAGUAGCGGCGAGCGAACGGGGAGCAGCCCAGAGCCUGAAUCAGUAUGUGUGUUAGUGGAAGCGUCUGGAAAGGCGCGCGAUACAGGGUGACAGCCCCGUACACAAAAAUGCACAUGCUGUGAGCUCGAUGAGUAGGGCGGGACACGUGGUAUCCUGUCUGAAUAUGGGGGGACCAUCCUCCAAGGCUAAAUACUCCUGACUGACCGAUAGUGAACCAGUACCGUGAGGGAAAGGCGAAAAGAACCCCGGCGAGGGGAGUGAAAAAGAACCUGAAACCGUGUACGUACAAGCAGUGGGAGCACGCUUAGGCGUGUGACUGCGUACCUUUUGUAUAAUGGGUCAGCGACUUAUAUUCUGUAGCAAGGUUAACCGAAUAGGGGAGCCGAAGGGAAACCGAGUCUUAACUGGGCGUUAAGUUGCAGGGUAUAGACCCGAAACCCGGUGAUCUAGCCAUGGGCAGGUUGAAGGUUGGGUAACACUAACUGGAGGACCGAACCGACUAAUGUUGAAAAAUUAGCGGAUGACUUGUGGCUGGGGGUGAAAGGCCAAUCAAACCGGGAGAUAGCUGGUUCUCCCCGAAAGCUAUUUAGGUAGCGCCUCGUGAAUUCAUCUCCGGGGGUAGAGCACUGUUUCGGCAAGGGGGUCAUCCCGACUUACCAACCCGAUGCAAACUGCGAAUACCGGAGAAUGUUAUCACGGGAGACACACGGCGGGUGCUAACGUCCGUCGUGAAGAGGGAAACAACCCAGACCGCCAGCUAAGGUCCCAAAGUCAUGGUUAAGUGGGAAACGAUGUGGGAAGGCCCAGACAGCCAGGAUGUUGGCUUAGAAGCAGCCAUCAUUUAAAGAAAGCGUAAUAGCUCACUGGUCGAGUCGGCCUGCGCGGAAGAUGUAACGGGGCUAAACCAUGCAC
rnacentral:rRNA from 1 species